rnacentral:rRNA from 1 species
UGGGGAAUCUUGGACAAUGGGGGCAACCCUGAUCCAGCAAUGCCGCGUGAGUGAAGAAGGCCUUCGGGUUGUAAAGCUCUUUUGUCAGGGAAGAAACGGUAGUAGCGAAUAACUAUUACUAAUGACGGUACCUGAAGAAUAAGCACCGGCUAACUACGUGCCAGCAGCCGCGGUAAUACGUAGGGUGCAAGCGUUAAUCGGAAUUACUGGGCGUAAAGCGUGCGCAGGCGGUUGUGUAAGUCAGAUGUGAAAUCCCCGGGCUCAACCUGGGAAUUGCAUUUGAGACUGCACGGCUAGAGUGUGUCAGAGGGGGGUAGAAUUCCACGUGUAGCAGUGAAAUGCGUAGAUAUGUGGAGGAAUACCGAUGGCGAAGGCAGCCCCCUGGGAUAACACUGACGCUCAUGCACGAAAGCGUGGGGAGCAAACAGGAUUAGAUACCCCCGUAGUCCUGAGCGGGCUGGCAAGGCGCAU